rnacentral:rRNA from 1 species
UGGUGCCUACGGGGCGCAGCAGUGGGGAAUAUUGGGCAAUGGGCGCAAGCCUGACCCAGCAACGCCGCGUGAAGGAAGAAGGCUUUCGGGUUGUAAACUUCUUUUCUUGGGGACGAAGAAAGUGACGGUACCCAAGGAAUAAGCCACGGCUAACUACGUGCCAGCAGCCGCGGUAAUACGUAGGUGGCAAGCGUUAUCCGGAUUUAUUGGGUGUAAAGGGCGUGUAGGCGGGAUUGCAAGUCAGAUGUGAAAACCACGGGCGCAACCUGGGGCCUGCAUUUGACAGCGCAGUUU